ensembl:lncRNA
GUAGUUAUUAUACAUCACACAAUCACCUGAUAUUCAUUUGUUUUUCCAGUAAUUAAGCCUGGCUAAUACCUUACGAUAGCUAAUUGCUAACUGUUGCAUGGGUCGAUUUGCUUUCAAGGGACCAUUGUGUUUCCCCGGAGGAGCAAUCGGUUCGCACCGUUUUUAAUCGAUUGAUAAUGCAAGUUUUUAGAUGUGUUCAAACUAGCGGAUCGACGCAUUUUAUCUGCUUGUUUGUCACGUCCGCAGAAUGACCAGCGGGACACCAUGGAGGAGAUACAGAAGGAGGUCGUCCGGCUGUGCAACGGCUACCCGGAGGGUCUUCCAAUACAGGAGAUCCAUGGCCUCUACCAGCGGACCUACGGGAAACCCCUGCGUCUCGGGACCCCUAAAAGGUUUGCCCCGCUGCAGACCCUGCUUAGGAGCGUGCCUGACCAUCUCUAUCUGUGCCCCGAUGGGGAGAUGGUAGUGUGGCCCAUCGCAUCUCGGCCAUCGGCCUCGCGGUCGGCACCUUCUUUCCCGU